CAGCAGCCGCGGGAAUACGAAGGGUGCAAGCGUUACUCGGAAUUACUGGGCGUAAAGCGUGCGUAGGUGGUUGUUUAAGUCUGCUGUGAAAGCCCUGGGCUCAACCUGGGAAUUGCAGUGGAUACUGGGCAACUAGAGUAAGGUAGAGGAUAGUGGAAUUUCCGGUGUAGCAGUGAAAUGCGUAGAGAUCGGAAGGAACAUCUGUGGCGAAGGCGACUAUCUGGGCCAUUACUGACACUGAGGCACGAAAGCGUGGGGAGCAAACAGGAUUAGAUACCCCUGUAGUCCCUGUCUCUUAUAC
rnacentral:rRNA from 1 species